UUUUCCCCUGAAGGCAAGUGGGUGCUCCAUCCUUGCCCUCACCCUGAGAAAGGGAUGCUUGUUCUAGUUGCAGAUCAGAGCGGGUGUGCGUGCAAGGGCAUGCAGGAGUGGGCUCUCUUGCCACUGCAGAGAGGGGUGCCUCCUCCCAGGAAUGCGCGGUGCCAGCCACCAGAGAAUUUCCAUCUGGGAAUGCCCCCAAAGCUCCCCCGGUCUCAGGCCUUGUCUGUGUCAAGACCUGCACCUAGAGCUUCACGGGGCUCCAGUGGGUAAGCUCCAUUUCCAUACGCCACCAUCUCCCCAACACCUCCUAUUUUUUCGACCCUCUCUAGUAUGCCAGCAGUCGAUCCUACGCAUCCCUCAGUCCUACCACCUUUUUCAGGACUCCUCCCAGCUCCCGACCCCGUCCUCACUUUCCUGGGCUAUCAUGGCAACCCCUCCCUCGCUUAGGGCUUGGCCCGCUUGCCCCCCUCUGGCUUUCUCAGACUUGCCCGGCCCCCCAUCCUCAUUAAUUUCCAGUCUCCAUCUUCUCCCACUGAUGCUGCCUGGCAAGCCUCCCACCCACCACUGUUUCUCCAAAGCCCUGGGAGGAUGAACUUUCAUCGUAUCUUUUCUGUCGGAACCCCAGCAGCCCUCCCCACUCUUCACCCUUCGCGGAUGACAUGGCUUCCCCAUGUCUCUGGAAAAACAGAAGCCACGGGAAGAAGACUCCCUAAGGCUCAUCAUUCACCUGAGGCUCUGUGUCCUCGGAGGGACUCUCCCCGCUCCCGCCCAAGGCCAGCCCUCCGCCUGUGUGCUUGAAGUCACGUGCCUGCGUGGUCCUCACCCCAUCGUGCCUUCUCUCUUCCUUUGGCAUCAUCAGUGUCCCCCUCUCCUGGAUUAUCCUGACAAGCCCACACACUUGGUCUAAAAACUCCUAGCCUUAAACAUUUUUUCCCCUUGAUCCCACAUCCACCUCCCACGCCGGCCCCAUUUUUCUGUUCCUUUUACAGCAAACUUCCUUGGAGGAAUCGUUUCUGCCUCUUCUGCUCCCUUAUCCACGCAGCACUCCAGCUGGGCAUUUGUUCCCGACACGCCAGUGAAACUGCUCUCAUCUCAGUCCCCAGUGACCUCUACACGGCCAAAUGCAAUGUCAGUUUUCAGUUCAUGUUAUCUUAGAUUGCCUAUCCUCAGCAUUUGACAUAGCUGGUGAAGCCCUUGCCCUUGAAACUCUUUCUUCUCUGACCUCCAGAGCACCUCUCUCACAGGUCUGCUUCUUACUUUGCUGGCCACUUCCCAGUCUCUUUUCCCGCUUGUGCCCCCUGACCAAUCUCUGCUCUCCAAGCGCGCCAGGGCCCAGGCCUCAGCCCUCUUCUCUCUCUGCCCUUCUCUUUGGGGUCUCACCCUAGAUGACCAGCUUUAAAAACCAUGCACAUUUGACUGGUUUCCCUAAUUUAUAUUUCUAGCCUUCCUUACUCUCUGUGGCCUCCAGUCUAGUUCAUGCUACCACCUGUUGGGUAUGCUGCCUGGGUGUCUCAUGGGCAUCUCACGAGUAACAUCCAAAGCCGAGGUCCCGAUUGUCCUCCCAAAUCUGUCCCCUCCAUCGUCUCCCCACAACUCCACCGUUCUAGUUGCUCAGGUCCAAACUUUGGAGUUAUUCUGGCUUUCUGUCUGUUUCUCACACCCACAGCCAGUCAGCAAAUCGUGUUAGCUUCACUUUCAAAAUACAUCCAGAAUUGGAGUUCCCGUUGUGGCUCAGUGGGUUAAGGACCCAACAUUGUCUCUGUGAGGAUGAGGUUUCGAUCCCUAGCCUGGCUCAGUGGGUUAAGGAUCCGGUGUUGCUAUGGCUGUGGUAUAGGUUGCUGCAGCUGCAGCUCUGAUUCGACACCUGGCCUGGGAACUGCCAUAUGCUGCUGCUGCAGCCGUAAAAAGAAAAACAAAACAAAACAAAACAAAAACCCGCUCAGAAUCGAGCUCCUCCCUGCAUUUCUGCCACAUUCUCCUUCUCCUGGAUGUUGGCAACAGCCCUUAACUGGCCUUGCUGCUUCUGCCCUGGCUUCUUAUCCAAUCUUCACACAGAAGCUAAAGAAAACCAGUCCUUCGGUCCCUACGCUGGUCAUCAGUGGCGUCCCAUCGCACAGAGGAAGGAUCUGGUGUGGCCCCCUGCUGAGCUGGCCCCGGACAGGCCCCUCCGGCAGCUUCUCCCAUCUUUCCCCACUUACCGACCUUUUUACAGCCAACCUCCUUCUGUUGUGCGAACAAGCCAUGCUCUUGCUUCUCCAGCUGUUCCCUCUUUCUAGAACGCUCUUCCCCCAGAUGUUGGCAUAUUGCUAAUGCUAUUCAGACCUCAGCUCAAACAUCCCCUCUUCAGCAAGUCUCCUCUUUCUCCGACGAGCUAAUGUAAAGUAACAGCCCCUCCCCAACCCCGUUACUUGAAUUUUAUUUUACUCCAUUUUACUUUCUCCAUAUUAUGAACCAUCAUCUGGAAUGGCUGCAUUUCUUUCUUCCCUUGUGUAUUGUCUCUCUUCACCACCAGAAUGAAAGCUGCAUGGUGGCAGGAACUCGGUCCCCGGCUGCAAGCACAGAGCCCGCCACAUGGUUGCCAGGCUGCCCUGGAAGGUUGUAAAGGUUGUUCACUGCAUCAGAGCUCUUGGCUGAGGGGCUGGCAGGUACUCAUAUUUAGCUUGCCCCUUGCUGUCCAUGCUGCAGGGGCAUUUAGCAAGUUGCCUUCUGCUAUUUUCCAGUGUGUGCUGUAUGGGCUGGCUGUGGCUCUGUGGUGGGCAUGUGAUAAAUAGUCAUAGACUAAAUGGCUGGCCGAUGGAUGUGCAGACCUUUGCUUGUUUUGUUCUGUGGGGCUUCAUGCAAAUUACCUUCUGAUGGCCUCAUUUUCCUCAUUUGUUAGGGGAGUAAUUACCAUCUAGCUUGGGGUACAGUUUAGGAGCAUUACAUGAACUGGUUUAUUAAAAAGCUGGUGCAAAUGUGAUUACAUUGGCGUGGCAUAUCCAGAAUAGGCAAAUCUGUAGAGACACAAAGCAGAUUUGAGGUUGCUGGAAGAUGGAGAAAUGAGGAGUGGCUGCUUGAUGAGUAGGGGGAGUCCCUUCUGCGUGAUGAAAAUGUUUAAGAACUAGCUAAGUGCGGGUUGUGCAGCAUUCGGCAUGUACGAAAUGUCACUACCUUGUGAGCUGAAAAUGACUAAUUGACUGAUAUGGUGAAUUUUUUGUUAUGUGAACCAGAUUAUGCUAUAUGAAUACUUCAAUUUAAAAACAAAUAAAAGAAACGCCAGACCCAGAGCUGAGGACGUGGUAGGCGUUCAGUGGAUGUCUUCUGAAUCCUAUGAUUUCCCUGCUUCAAAAUCAAACCAAAACCCUAGGGGUUCCUAUCACGGCUCAGUGGUAACCAACCCGACUAGUAUCCAUGAGGACUCAGAUUCGAUCCCUGGCCUCGCUCAGUCGGUUAAGGAUCCGGCAUUGCCGUGAGCUGUGGUGAGGUGGCAGACGUGGCUCAGAUCUGGUGUUGCUGUGGCUGUGGUGUAGGCCGGCAGCUGUAGCUCUGAUUUGCCUCCUGGCCUGGGAACUUCCAUAUGCCACAGGUGUGGCCCUCGAAAGCAAAACAAAACAAAAAAAACAAAACCCCAAACCCUAAACCUCCCUCGGCUCUUCACGCCUCAUCCAGGGUAUAUUCACGUUCCUCCCAUUCAUUUAUUUCAGGAGUAUUUUUUGUUGUCAUUUUAGAUAUAAGGGAUAUGAAGGGAACAAGAUAGACACAGACCCUACCCCCAGAGUUUAUAGGCUCACAGGGGACUCUGCCCAAUAAAGAGAAAACACCAUACUGUGUAGUCAGGGUUAUGAAGGAGAAGGGCCAGGGUCUUCCAGGGGCAUAAAAGAAGGAGAGAAUCUAGAAGGGGUCUAGGGAGUUCCCAGCGUGCCUCAACGGAAACGAAUCUGACUAGCAUCCAUGACGACGCAGGUUUGAUCCCUGGCCUCACUUGGUGGGUUAAGGAUCUGGCGUUGUCACGAGCCAUGUUGUCGUUUGCAGAUGUGGCUCAGAUCCGGCGUUGCCGUGAGCCGUGGUGAGGUGGCAGACGUGGCUCAGAUCUGGCUGUGGUGUAGGUCGGCAGGUGCAGCUCCCUGCCUGGGAACCUCCAUAUACCCUAGGUGUGGCCCUAAAAGUACAAAAAAUGGGGGAGAGGUCGUCUAGAUAAAGAGGGAUCUAAUCUAAUCUAAUCUGGGGCCUGAAUGAUAAGGGGGCCUGGGAGGCACCGUCAGCCAGGGAGAGGUGGACAUGUUGGGGGGGGGGAUGUUGGAGGAAAGCAGGGGUCCCAGGAAGAGUGCGGGCAAAGCCUGGAAGAUGAGAGCCUGGUGGGUUCUAGGAGUAGAGAGCAGUUUGGUGUGGCUGCAGCACACAGUGUGACGUGUAGAGUACGCGGUCAAGGUCGGUGCCAAGAUCUUCAAGGUCCUGCAUGAACCGGUCUCUGCACUGCAGCCGCAGUAGUACCGUGGCCACUUGCAGACCCUUGGCCGCAGGCCUUGCUCCCCUGUGCACUGCGAACUCCUGGGCCAGCGUGGCUAAGCUCCUGGAACACUUCCCCUAGACGCUUACUGAGAACCUCCCCAGUGUCAGGAGCUGGGAAUCCAGAGGCUCAAACUUGGCCCCAUCCUGGGAGAGCUCCCCGGCUCACAGGGGAGGCAGCAAGGGGAAGAAAUAUUUACAAGAUAUUUACAAGAUAAUGAGAAAAGAGCUGUGAUAGGUGGAGCUAGUGGGGAGGCGUGGCUUGUGGGGUGGAGGUGGAGCUUGCCAAGGGGAGGCGGGGCUUGCUGGGGGAUGAGCGCUCUGGGAAGGUGACUCCCUGAGGGUCUAAAAAAACAGGGAGGCACUAGACUUGGGGAAGAGGGAAAAGGCAGAAGGCAGAAGUUCAGGGAGUUCCCGCCGUGGCUCAGCGGUUAGUGAAUACGACUAGCCUCCAUGAGGACGCGGGUUCGAUCCCUGGCCUCCCUCAGAGAUUAAGGCUCCUGCGCUGCCGUGAGCUGUGGUGUAGGUGGAAGACGCGGCUGGGAUCACGCGUUGCUGUAGCUCUGGUGCAGGUUGGCAGCUGCAGCUCCGACUGGACCCCUAGCCUGGGAACCUUUUUUUCCUAAAAAGACCAAAAAAAAAAAAAAAAAAAAAAAAAAA
rnacentral:lncRNA from 1 species